rnacentral:rRNA from 1 species
GUGUCAGCAGCCGCGGUAAGACGGAGGGUGCUAGCGUUGUUCGGAAUUACUGGGCGUAAAGGGCGCGUAGGCGGCCGCUUAAGUCGGGUGUGAAAGCCCGGGGCUCAACCCCGGAACUGCAUCCGAGACUGGGUGGCUGGAGACCGGGAGAGGAGAGUGGAAUACCCAGUGUAGAGGUGAAAUUCGUAGAUAUUGGGUGGAACACCGGUGGCGAAAGCGGCUCUCUGGCCCGGUUCUGACGCUGAGGCGCGAAAGCGUGGGGAGCAAACAGGAUUAGAAACCCCAGUAGUCC